CUAAAACAAAAAACAUCUGUAAAACAACUUCCAUUAUCACAAUAUAUGUGAAAAAGAUAUAUAAAAUUCAUGGCUUUAGUUUAACAACAAGUUAAUCCCAACUAACUAAAAGCAGAAUAAAUCGUCUAGUCGUAGAAAUCCUGAGUUGGAAGGGACCCACAAGGAUCACUGAGUCCAGCUCUUGGCUCCACACAGGACCAUCCAAAAAUCAGACCGUAUGUCCGAGAGCACUGUUCAAACACUCCUUGAACUCUGGCAGACUCAGGGCUGUGACCACUGCCCUGGGGAGCCUGUCCCAGUGCCCAACCACCCUCUGGGUGCAGAACCUUUCCCUAACCCCCAGCCUGACCCUCCCCUUUUGAACUACCUAA